UACGUAGGGUGCGAGCGUUAAUCGGAAUUACUGGGCGUAAAGCGUGCGCAGGCGGUUGUGCAAGACAGAUGUGAAAUCCCCGGGCUUAACCUGGGAAUGGCAUUUGUGACUGCACGGCUAGAGUGUGUCAGAGGGGGGGUAGAAUUCCACGUGUAGCAGUGAAAUGCGUAGAUAUGUGGAGGAAUACCGAUGGCGAAGGCAGCCCCCCUGGGAUAACACUGACGCUCAUGCACGAAAGCGUGGGGAGCAAACAGG
rnacentral:rRNA from 1 species